UCCCUUUCUGAGGUGCUGGGACUGAGGGA
rnacentral:piRNA from 2 species